rnacentral:lncRNA from 1 species
AUGGUGCUGAUUAGCGUUGGUCAUGCACAGGCUUGUUCAACAGGCUCUGCUGUGAGAAGCCGGAUUGUGGGAUUGUGUCUCCUUUCCUACAGUCUGGACAAGCGUGUGUCUGUUCACUGGUCUCUGAGCCCCAGUGCUACCUGUUGUCCCAGAUUAUCCCACAGGUGUCCACUGGGGCUCCAGUGCACAGCAUCUCUGUCACUCUCUGCUCUCUCAGGACAGGUGUCCACUGGGGCUCCAGUCCACAGCUUCACUGUCACUCUGCUCUCUCAGGACAGGUGUCCACUGGGGCUCCAGUCCACAGCAUCACUGUCACAAUCUCUGUGCCUCUGUUUCUCAGUUUAUAUGGUCUGCCCUGUAGUUUCCACCUGUGUCCUCUGGUUCCUGUUUCCCUGUAGAUCCUGACGAGCUCCGCUGGGCUGACUUUGUCAAUAUAUUUUAAUUUUUUUCAUUUACUUGAAUCAAGUUCCCUUAUAGUCUUCCCCAUUCAAAACUAAAGAGAUUCAGUUCAUUGUCCUCACAAUUUGGAACAACAAAGAAAUUGGAUUGAUAUUUUUCCCUAUCUGCACGUACAUUGAAUAUCAUCUGCCAGGUGUUUACCCUGUUCUGACGUCUAUUUAAAUCCUUUUUAAUUGAAUUUGGGAGCUUCUGCAGUGUCCGCUAAUCCCCCUAAUUAGGCAUGAUUUUACUGCAUUGAUCUGUGUGCAAGUGUCUCGAUUGUUUUUACCACGUUUCAUGGUAAAAAGCAAUGAUGUGUCAUGAAAGGUGCUAUAUCCAAUGCAGAUCAGAUGCCACAACAAUGGAGCGAACCUUUUAGUAGUUGGCUUUGGAAGCCAAAUCACAACCUGUUUAAUUGGCUCCGCGGUUCAGAGCAAAACCCAGGAGACAACAGGUGAUGAGUCUGAGAGCCCAUCUUUCCUGGGGUCCAGUGCUUAGUGACACUCCCUCUCCCUCUGUCUCCCUCUCGUCCCUCAUCCUGCGGCCUACUCACAGAGGCCUAAGCUUCUUCAGAAAGUCGAACAAGUUCCUGGCGAUACAGGAGCAAAAGUAAGCAGAGCGUGUUGGCGUGGACUUGUGAAGGUCCUGCGCUACAGCCACGGGCGCCGUGUGAGGCCGGAUUGUUUCUGUGUGCGGAGCUCAGCCCCCUCGGGGGAGAAGUCGGCCAGGGUGAUGUCAUCCUUCAUGGAACAGGCACACAAAGGAAAGGGGAAGUGGAAUUGUUUAGAAACGGAAAUUAUUAACAUUCCACAAUCCCGAGGCCCAGCCGCAGACCGCCGUGACCGCUCGUCACGCGCUGGCCUGGACGCGCACGGCACAUCACGGCGACCCGCUCGGAGCGCGAGGGACUGGCCGCCGACCGCAGCGCCGCACCGAUACGGAGGUCAUCG